CGUUUAGAGGAAGUGUGUGAGGCUGGCCCCGGAGCGUGCACUUUCCCGCUGACAGAAAUGAGCGUGGGUCUAAAGAAAGCGUUGAGAGUAACCGAUGUCCAGUGCCCAAUGUCGCAACGCAGCUGCUUCUGGGAUCCAGUCCUCUGUGGAACGGCGGUGGCAGGUUUUCCUAGAUGCAGCCGGUUGUUGACUGACACGGAGUCAACACCCACUCCUGGGGACCCCCUGCACACUGGAACAAAAUGCUGCCCAGUCCUGCGCCGUCUCCGUGAUUGGUGGGCAUUGAAUCAUUGCUAAUUAUAGAGCUUUCAUUGGCUAUGUGGUAGUUACAUAAUCUCAUGUCAACUUGAAGAUUUAUAAAAGUACAGGGGUGGUAUCCAGCCUGUGAAUCAGGUCACAGCCUCAAGGUGCCUCCUUGUGGGCCUGGCCUUAUCAUAAGGUGGGCCUGAGGAACCUCCCUUUCUCUCUGCCCCUAACCUGAGAGCUGUCAGAGCUCUGCUAUUUUUCCA